rnacentral:rRNA from 1 species
GAUGAACGCUAGCUACAGGCUUAACACAUGCAAGUCGCGGGGCAGCAUGGGGGUUGCUUGCCAUCCCCGAUGGCGACCGGCGCACGGGUGAGUAACGCGUAUCCAACCUGCCCUUCACCACGGGAUAACCCGGCGAAAGUCGGACUAAUACCGUAUGUUGUCCAUUGACGGCAUCCGAUUUGGACGAAAGGCUUGGCGGUGAGGGAUGGGGAUGCGUCCGAUUAGCCAGACGGCGGGGUAACGGCCCACCGUGGCUACGAUCGGUAGGGGUUCUGAGAGGAAGGUCCCCCACACUGGAACUGAGACACGGUCCAGACUCCUACGGGAGGCAGCAGUGAGGAAUAGUGGGCAAUGGGCGUAAGCCUGAACCAGCCAAGUAGCGUGCAGGAGGACGGCCCUAUGGGUUGUAAACUGCUUUUAUGCGGGGAUAAAGUGGCCCACGUGUGGGCUUUUGCAGGUACCGCAUGAAUAAGGACCGGCUAAUUCCGUG